UCCUCGAUAGCUCAAUGGCAGAGCAUCCGGCUGUUAACCGGAGGGUUGCAGGUUCGAGUCCUGCUCGAGGAGCCA
rnacentral:tRNA from 2 species